UACACGAUACAUUCUUUGGAAGAGGAGCAAUAGGACAGACAUGUUUUGGCCAACUGAAAAGUGAAAAUUUCUUGUUUUUUAUUAUGCAGAUGUAAAAUUUUUAAUAUGCUAAGAAUCAUAUUUUCCCGAAGAUCUGGCGUUCUUCUCGAAUGCUGGCCAAAUAACUUCGUUGCGAAGAAAUAAGUAGAGGCUACUCUUCUCUUAACAUUACUGAACUUCAUAGUAGACUGAUUUUACUGUUACCGGAGUGAACACGGCUUCCCUUCCUAGUAAAGUGUGACAAGCGAUGAUCAUGAUGCGAUGCCCGGCGUAUGUCACCGGUGCAAGCGGAAUGUGUACGUUGCGGACGAGAAAGUUGCUUUGGGGAGAGUGUGGCACAAUUUCUGCGUUUCAUGCAGAAAAUGUCGGAAACUUUUAGACGAGUGUUCAGCAAAACUAUACGAAGAUGAAAUAUACUGCCGGAAAUGUUACGGGGCGAUCUGCGGUCGAUCAGAAGACGAAGAAGAGGAGCGGCGGUGCGGAGGGCGUCGUGGCGGCUGCUGCCGGCGCUGUCCGACGCCUGCUCGCAUCCCUGCACGCGCCAAGCCGAGCCCUACGGCAGUCACCGCCUGGUACUCCCGCGGCCACAGAACGCAGCCCUGCAAAGCUUGUCCACGAUGCUCGGCGAAGGAGCCAUGGUAUGUGUGUGAGGGCGGUUCGCAGCGCUGCCCAGAUGGCAUUGGUUGUGAACGGCGAUCACGUGCCCGCACCAGAACAUCUUGCUGCGAUGAAAGCUGUCCUGCACGUAAGUCCCUGGAGAGUGUGCCAUCUACAGCAGAGGACAAGUGCUGCACUACACCCAAAGUGAAGAAGAAGACAACACCCCCUCCGUGUGUCUGCUGCAACUGUUGCUCCUCAGAGCGGCGAAAGUCGUGCUGCCGGCGCUGCUUGAGACUGGAGAAGGCGGACAAGGAGCGAGAGAACAGCUGUCGCAGCCGGCGCAGUUGCGAUCGCUCCACCUGCUGUGCGUGGAGAGCUCGCCAGCGUUCCAAGUCUCCGUGUGCGACGGCGGACCCACCUUGCGUUCCCCGUGACCCAUCUUGCAUUCCCUGUCCAACGUCAGGUGAGGGGCGGAAGAGUAGGCCUCGCAGAAGGCGGAGCUGCGACCGCUCCACCUGCUGUGCGUGGAGAGCUCGCCAGCGUUCCAAGUCUCCGUGCUCGACGGCGGACCCACCUUGCGUUCCCUGCGCGUCAUCGGACGAGGAGCGGAAGAGCAGCCCUCGUGGCCGGCGCAGUUGCGACCGCUCCACCUGCUGUGCGUGGAGAGCUCGAAGGCGAAACACCUCGCCGUGCCCGGCAGCGGACCCGCCUUGCGUUCCCUGCCCGCCGCUGCGGCGGAAGACGCCGGAGCCGCCCUGUUCUCCCUGCCCACCUUGCACGCCGGGCCCCGCGCUGCAGCCCAAGGCGCCGGACCCACCUUGUGCACCCAAGACGCCGCUGCCGCCGUGCGAGGCCGACGGGGUGGAGGUGCUGUGCCCGGCUGCAGACCGCUGUUGGUGCUCCUGCUCCUGCAGUCGUCGGCGUGGACGCUCCGCCACGAGUUCGGACAGGGCCAGCAAGGCUUCUAGCUUCGUGCCCUGCCCCGCUGCCAAGCCUCGAUGCUGUCGCACCGACCUACCCAUUGGGAAACCCUGCAGGAGAUGCGGCAGGCAGGUGUACCACGCAGAGCUGGUGCUGGCGGCGGGCACCGUCUUCCACACGUGCUGCUUCACCUGCCGGCAGUGCCGCAAACCGCUGGAGUCCACCACAGUCUACGAGGCCCAGAACGAGAUCUUCUGUAAGCAAUGUUACGUGAAACGAUUCGGCCCCAGCGGUUACGGCUAUGGCUUGGGGGCCGGUGCAUUGCAGACGCCAUGAGGACCAUCAGCCAAGCAGCAUCAGAAGACCAUCAGCCAAUCAACAGUCUCAAUCAGCGUACAGUACUGAACCGUGGCGAGGUCAAGCAGUGUUCCGUCUCAACAACUGUUGCAGGAUUUCCCGGAGGCGAACUCGCGGUGCUUCUGGAGUACGUUGCUGCUAGAAGCCAUGCGCCAGCUGCAGUUCAGGGCUACGUGUCUCCCGGCGUCUGCUGGGUCUGCAAGCGCCUGCGCACUCGUGCACAUUCUUCCUCACCUGGGCGUGCAAUGUGCUGAGCCUUCGCACCAGAUACCCCAUUUUUGCCGUCGAUCGGAGCAGCAAACUUGGAACCUGUCACUCUGCUAGUCAGAUGACAUUGGGUCACCUUUUGUUAAUCAUCAUGGAUGUGUGAGGUUAACUGGGCUCGGAAUCACCAAGACAUUGUCUUGAAUUCAUCCCCAUUUAAAGGGUGCUGCCGCUCAAUACACGAAGUGGCCAACUCUUUCCGAAUUUCAUUUUCAUCAUCCUACGAAAAUACUUUCCUUUGCAUCGCCGGCGAACAAUCUGAUGGUGCUCGUCAGAUGAGUGCCCUGGGUCCCAGCCGAAGUUCUACAUCGGAAGAAGAAGUCGUGGAAUUUUGUUCAGCUAGUAUACUGUUAUGGAGAGGGCUUUAUGUAACAACAGUUAGCAGCCGGAAACUAGGAUGUCUGCAAGUAUCGAGAAUGUUGUCGAUUUUUUGUCAUCUUAUUUGCCAUGUCAUUGUUGAGGAAAAUUGAUUUCCCACCCUCGCAUAAUAUAGCUUUAAGAGAGGUAGAAGAUCAAAAAUUCAGUCCUACAUUGCUACCGACUGGCGAAGUUGUGGAAAGUUUUAUGUUAAGAGCGGCGUACGAGUGUCCUCCGUUGUUAAUGAUCGCGGGUAUGAGCGAAAAAAAUCAUAGCUACUUUGCUUUAGGGUUUAUGAAGCAAGUUUUUGGCUGCUUAUAAGUGCAAAUGCAUAGCGUGUUUCUCUUGUAUUGUCGCUCCUACGCAGCAGGCUCACUUACGUACAGCGUUCCGCUCAGAAUUGUGCCUGUCAUAAGCGUAUCAAUACAGAGUAAUAGUCGGAAAGAGCGUGAAACAUAGAAUCAUGUGUAUUCCAGUGAGUAUACUUGGUAACAUUCUUUCGGUAAUAUAUCACGAUGGGCUGUGAGUUCAGUUCUGAAGAAGUCGUGUACCUCCUCUGCCCGUGUGUCUUCCACUGGCCGCUGGAUGUUACGACUAACCUCAGCGACUGCUGGUUCCAUAUUUGUGUAUUACCAAGAGAAUGUUACCAAGCAUUGCUUAAAGCCUUCGUCCCAUGUCUUCAAGGGGUCGCCAUCGUAGUCAACUUGGAGACAAGGACGGGAGUGCGGUAUUUGUUGGAAAUGGUGCAAGUAGGGCUAGGUCCCGUCUACGCGGAGCUUUCUGGUCUCCACGUUUGACGCUCCUGAACCCCAAUGUCCAAUUCCUUGGCGAAUUUGAAUCAGAUUCACAUUUGGUUUCAUGUCUCUCGUACUUGCGUUCGCGUGCAGUGUCACUUUUCGCAACUAUUUUCAGUCCGAAAGUUUUUGCAGUGCGGACCGUAUUAUUCUUCAUGUAUUUUUGCCCCCCUUUUUUUUUUUGUAAUGGUUCGGAAAUAUCAUUCGUUACCGAGUAAGAAGUUUCUUCUGUCGCUGUUUACCGGCAGUCUCUUUGGUUACGGCAUUCCAGUUCGGGUAAUGCCUGUUGUAAUAAAUAUGUUUAUAAAUAUUUUUAUAUAUUAUAUAGAUAACGUGAAAUAUUGAAGCCUUCGUUCUUCCGCGAGCAGACCGACCGUGGCGGGAGUUCGCCAGGGGCAACCCUGGCCCACCGGAUCCGGCAGUUGCGCGGUGGAACGAGAGAGCGGUAUUUGAAAGGAGUUGGUGCAAGUGGGGCGGGUUUUCCUCUUUUAUUUUUUUUUAUUUUUUUUUUUCUCUUGUACUCGCAUUCAAUUUCCCGAGCCCCGAUGUCCAACAUCCUCGGUUAUUGAUAUAUUAAAGUUUAUUUUAUAUAUAUAGAAAGGCUUUUGUAGGCUUCUGGUUGAAGCGUAUUUAUUGACAUUUUUGCUUGCGUGUAAGUAACAGCGUCAGCUGGAAUGCUGCAGAGAAGAGCGCGACUCACGUGUAGGUUUAUUUCCGUUGGUCCCUGCUGAAUGGGUUGUCGUCUCGUGUUUGCCGUCAGCUUCGUAGUAGAGGAUACAUAUGUGCUAACAUUUUGUUAAGAAAUUCAGAUGGGAAGGACGUAGAAUUCACCGUACGGUAGCAAUGAACGUCGCUGGUCUGUCCUAGGUCGAUGUUUCUAACAUAUUUCUGAAGACAACGUACCUCUUUAUUCCAUUUAAAAGAAGGAACAAAAAUAGGCAACAUCGAUACUGUGCAGAGCAUCCGAUCACGUCUACAAAAAUGAAUUGGCAACAAUAAUAAAAGUUUAGGUUAUCCGCUGGAAGCACUAAAUUCUCGUGUAAAUUAUAAUUUCAGUUUCGCCAACUUGUUCCUAAAAACCUUUUUUUGUAAAAAUUCAAAUAAAAUUCUUUCAACACACA